CCUACGGGUGGCUGCAGUGAGGACUAUUGGUCAAUGGGCGCGAGCCUGAACCAGCCAAGUAGCGUGAAGGAUGACUGCCCUACGGGUUGUACACUUCUUUUAUAAAGGAAUACAGUGAGGCACGUGUGCCUUUUUGUAUGUACUUUAUGCAUAAGGAUCGGCGAACUCCGUGCCAGCAACCCGCGUAAUCCGGGGGAUCCGAUCGUUAUCCGGAUUUAUUGUGUUUAAAGGGAGCGUAGAUGGGUUGUUCAGUCAGUGGUGAACGUUUGCGACUCAACCGUAAAAUUGCAAUUGAUACUGGCAGCCUUGAGUACAGUUGAGGUAGGCGGAAUUCGUGGUGUAGCGGUGAAAUGCUUAGAUAGCACGAAGAACUCCGAUUGCGAAGGCAGCCUACUAAACUGCCACUGACAUUGAUGCUCGAAAGUGUGGGUAUCAAACAGGAUUAGAUACCCUGGUAGUC
rnacentral:rRNA from 1 species